rnacentral:misc_RNA from 1 species
UGAUGAGUCGGUUUGGAGGUUAAGUGGUACCGUGAAGCAGACGACGUUACAUGAUGAUUCACGCGUUUAUAUAAUGUACACUUGUGUGUACUACACGUGUUUUUACCGGUUAGCGCCGGUUUCACUUUCGUAUCUUUUCCUUAAUAAUUAUGAUUUAUAACAUUUAACAAUAAUAAUGAUUUUAACAUUUCACAAGACCGUGAGACGCUCAAAGCGCUUUAUAUCUCCGUUGACAUCAGCUCGAUGACGUUACCAAGUUACCUCAUAGUUCUUCAAAUCUUCACGUCUUCAGUAGAAUCGCUAGAUAAAUCCAAGACAGAGUGUUUCAUCGUGCAAAGAUGUUACACGAAUCGGAGGAAUCAGCGAUCCUCUCAAAGAGUGAUAUCUUACUUACUUCGUUUAUUUCAGGUGCUCUUGCAGGAAUUGUUUGUGACGUGACACUUUUUCCACUGGACACCCUCAAGACACGAUUACAAAGCCAACAUGGAUUUUUCCAAUCUGGAGGCUUUAAGCAGUUAUACAAAGGGAUUGGACCUGUAGUCCUAGGUUCUGCACCAUCAGCUGCUAUAUUUUUUAUUACUUAUGAAGGAAUAAAGCAGCACUCACAACCAUAUAUACCAAAUCAAUAUCAUUCCAUUAUACACAUGAUUGCAGCAUCAUCUUCUGAAGUUACAGCCUGUUUGGUACGAGUGCCAGUGGAAGUAGUUAAACAGAGAAAACAAGCACUGUUGUUAGACACACAUCGACUAGCAUUAAGAACAUUAUAUCGUGGUUACGGGAGCACUGUUCUUCGUGAUAUGCCAUUCGGCUUGAUUCAAAUGCCACUGUGGGAAUACUUCAAGCUUUGUUGGACCCGACAGAUGCACCGGGAAUGCACACCUUUGGAAGGCGCUACUUGCGGCGCCGCGUCAGUUGCCAUAUCGGCUGCCAUAACAACACCGUUGGAUGUCGCAAAAACUAGAAUUAUGCUAUCGAGCACGUCGGCGGAGAAAGAAGAAGUUAAAAUAUCAACGAUGUUAAAAGAGGUUUACAAAGACCAUGGCGUUAAAGGGCUAUUUGCUGGCUUUACCCCAAGGGUAACCGGCUUUACUAUUGGUGGAUUUAUAUUCUUUGGUAUUUAUGAGAAAGCCAGGGAAUUUUGUAUAUCCCACUUUACUCGAUAGCUCAUGACGCUCUGAUAAAUAACUGAAUUAGAACAAAAUUAAAUUUUAUUAAAUUACCAAAUUUUAUGAAUGUGUACACGUGAGAAUACACAGGCGCAUUCUUAUAAUUGCCAUAUCGCGCAAAAAUAUGUUCUGCUGGGAUUUGAAUCAAAAGGUACAAGAAAAUUUCAAGGAAAGUUUGAAAAGAAAAAGACGUCACACGUUUUUGCUAUUUAAAGAUAUUACAGUUAAAUAAAAGCACGAUACGCAUGCACACGCGCAUUUCUCAAUUGCAUACUCAGUCUACUUUAAUUAUACAAAAUCUUAAUACAUCUUUUUGGAGGUACUAAUUGUUAUUAACACUAUUUACAAUUUUACGUAUUCAUACAUGUUAUGCAGUUUUAAUAAGAUUAUGGAUACUAAAGUUUGUAACUAUCAAAAUAACUAUAAAAGGUACUGAAAAAAAUACCCUAGUCCUUGACAAUACAUAAGAACGUAUUCUGGUUGUCAUAAUUAUCACAGCAAAAAUCUGAAGGAGAAUAAACGAUGAGGAUAAAUAUCA